UACGUAGGGGGCAAGCGUUGUCCGGAAUCAUUGGGCGUAAAGAGCGUGUAGGCGCCAGAAAAGUCCGCUGUGAAAACUCGAGGCUCAACUUCGAGCUGUCGGUGGAAACUUUCUGGCUAGAGUCCGGAAGAGGAGAAUGGAAUUCCUGGUGUAGCGGUGAAAUGCGCAGAUAUCAGGAAGAACACCCGUGGCGAAGGCGGUUCUCUGGGACGGUACUGACGCUGGAGACGCGAAAAGCGUGGGGAGCGAACAGG
rnacentral:rRNA from 1 species